GGUUCCUCUAUUUAACAGUCACUAACCAGCACCUCAGAAAGAAGUCUGAAGUUUCUGAACUGUUGUUAAUGCUACCAGGUGGAUGCAAGCUUGGAUUCUAUCCCUUCUCAACUUCUUGUAAACUCUGAAAUCUGUAAAGGAGGUCAUGAAGAAAGGAUAUCUGGAGUCAACUUGGCUCACACAUCCUAGUCCAGAAGAGGCACUGAUUCAGCUGGAUGGGACACAGCACUCAUUGCUGGAGGCUCUGAAGUUUCCAAAGAGAUUAAGAUAACUUUGAUGACAUUUCUGGAGGAUGAAGAGCAGCAAUGAUAACUGAGACUAUACGUGUGAGUGCCAUUCAAAAGGGCUUAGGAAAUAUCAGUCACACCCUGAGGGUACAUCUAAUCUGGACUGCACUCCCUGCUCCUAGUCAAUACACAUUUCAUCAUGUCAUCCAAGCUGAUUGCCAAGAAUCCUUCCUACUGAAUCAUAUAUUUCUGAGCUGCCAUCACUCCAAACUGCAUGGCUGCCAUGUUCACAUCUACUGGUGUCAGCACUGCAAAAGGAGAUGAGAAAGAUCCUUAUCCCCAUUUGACAACCCUCUCCUGGACCAGAACAGAAGCACAUGGAUCCUAUCCCUCCUUCUUCCCUCCUUUAGCAAAGUCGGACAUAACUGGAGCAGAAGCUUCAACAGACAUAGCAGCAGACUCCUGUUCAAGUGCUCUGAAGAAAGGGUAAGGAAAGUGAGAGUUCAUGUGGUAAAAUAACAAAACAAA